rnacentral:rRNA from 1 species
GGCCUACCAUGGUGGUAACGGGUAACGGGGAAUUAGGGUUCGAUUCCGGAGAGGGAGCCUGAGAAACGGCUACCACAUCCAAGGAAGGCAGCAGGCGCGCAAAUUACCCAAUCCCGACACGGGGAGGUAGUGACAAUAAAUAACAAUACGGGGCUCUUUCGGGUCUCGUAAUUGGAAUGAGUACAAUUUAAAUCCCUUAACGAGGAACAAUUGGAGGGCAAGUCUGGUGCCAGCAGCCGCGGUAAUUCCAGCUCCAAUAGCGUAUAUUAAAGUUGUUGCAGUUAAAAAGCUCGUAGUUGAAUUUCGGGAUUGACACAUCGGUCGUGCCUUAAGGGGUAUGAACUGGUGUAGUCAAUUUCUCACCUUCUGGAGAACCGCGAUGCCCUUAAUUGGGUGUCACGGGGAACCAGGACCUUUACUUUGAAAAAAUUAGAGUGUUUAAAGCAGGCAUUUUGCUUGAAUACAUUAGCAUGGAAUAAUAAAAUAGGACGGCAUGAUUCUAUUUUGUUGGUUUCUAGGAUCACCGUAAUGAUUAAUAGGGAUAGUUGGGGGCAUUAGUAUUCAAUUGUCAGAGGUGAAAUUCUUGGAUUUAUUGAAGACUAACUACUGCGAAAGCAUUUGCCAAGGAUGUUUUCAUUAAUCAAGAACGAAAGUUAGGGGAUCGAAGACGAUCAGAUACCGUCGUAGUCUUAACCAUAAACUAUGCCGACUAGGAAUCAGACGAUGUUAAUUUUUUAAUGACUCGUUUGGCACCUUACG